AACGAACGCUGGCGGCAGGCUUAACACAUGCAAGUCGAACGCCCCGCAAGGGGAGUGGCAGACGGGUGAGUAACGCGUGGGAACAUACCCUUUUCUACGGAAUAGCUCUGGGAAACUGGAAUUAAUACCGUAUACGCCCUACGGGGGAAAGAUUUAUCGGGGAAGGAUUGGCCCGCGUUGGAUUAGCUAGUUGGUGGGGUAAAGGCCUACCAAGGCGACGAUCCAUAGCUGGUCUGAGAGGAUGAUCAGCCACAUUGGGACUGAGACACGGCCCAAACUCCUACGGGAGGCAGCAGUGGGGAAUAUUGGACAAUGGGCGCAAGCCUGAUCCAGCCAUGCCACGUGAGUGAUGAAGGCCUUAGGGUUGUAAAGCUCUUUCACCGAUGAAGAUAAUGACGGUAGUCGGAGAAGAAGCCCCGGCUAACUUCGUG
rnacentral:rRNA from 1 species